GAUUAAGCACCUCAGUGACCGUUUUCCGUUUCAUAAAAGCCAUUGACUGACCUGCUGAUGUUUUAUCAUAUCAGGCUCUGAAUGCAUAUGAGUUUGAGAGACAUGCUAAUUGCAAAUCAAAACAUCCAAACAAUCACAUUUAUUUUGAUAAUGGGAAGACCAUUUAUCAAAUAGUACAGGAAUUGAAGAGUACCCCUGAAAGUAUGUUGUUUGAUACAAUUCAAACUGUCUUUGGUGCACCAAUUAAUCAGAAAGCAUUUCGCUAUUGGAAAGGUAAAUGAAUUUCUCUCUCAAGUCUUACUGUUUCUGGUUGUUUGGUAUGUCACUCAUCCAAUUCUUUCAACUCCGCUUCAGAAUCUUACCAAGCAGCAACGCGUGAGCUUCAGCGCAUUUAUGGAAAAGAAUAACGUACAAAUCUAACUCCCGACGCCUUUGUGAAAAUGCAACCUAGUUUAGAACUCGUGUGCAGAAUAAUGUCUUCAUUUUUAGUAUCUUUCAUUCUAUGACUCGGCAAACUUCAGUAAACUAUGGACCCUUGUGGCCUUGCUUAGUAUAUUGGAAGCUUCAUUUUAGCAUUUUAACAGAUCAAAAGAAUUAGGUGCUUUGGACAGAAUUAUAUGUGGCAUUAUCGUGAAAGCCAAGGUUAAUGUUGAUUAGUAAUUUAAAGGAGCAAGACUUCUGGACUCGUUAAUGUUUCAGAUUAAUCUCUUUACGCAAGGUAAAGCCAUUUUGCUUCGAGCCAGUACAAGAAAGAGGUCAUUUCAGUUGAGUACGUUAAUUUUUAGAUUAAUAUGUAAUUGGCCCGUGGAGUGCCUUUGAUAGUUUGAACUUUGGAGUGAAAAUGUACACAUCAAACAAACCAAAAAACUUAAAUGAUUUUAAGUGGUAUUUUUCUCACUUUUCGGCCUUUAAACAAAGCAUCCAAAAUCUUAAAUUAUUAGUAACUCCGAUCUUGAGCAUUAAAACCAAAAUAUAAUUCUAUCAUCUUUUUUUUGUCAACUUUGAGUAGUUGUAGAUAUUAGGCAUGCCAUGGUUCCAAGUUCUCAUAUAAUUUUGCGUUGGGUUUCAUGUUCUUCUGUCUGUAUUACUUUUACGUUUCCAAAUGUUAUAAGCGCUUUUUUUUAUUCCCUUAAUUUGCAAUUUGAUCUGAAGUCCCGAAUAAAUAAAAACAUGGGCACUUAGAUAUGAAUUCACCAUAAUCAAAUCUAGUUUUGGAUUAAUAUAACUUGUUAAAAAAUUCAGAAACUACACCACGCGCAAAAUUUAUAAAGAAUGGCACCUUGAAAAUGUUAAGCAUUAAUCAGCUUCAUGUUUAUCAUGCAUAUAUUUUUCUUUUUCUUUCGUCCUUCUUGCUCUUGGACAAGUAAACUUGCUUCCAAUCAGUAAAAUUAGGCCUUCAACCACAACAACCUGAUUUUUGUGCAGCCUCCCCAGCUCCGGCUCCCUGGUCUGUGUUGAUUUUGAUCGCUGCAGGCUGCAAUGAACAAUUCAGAAGAGGUUUCAGGGCAGUCGAAUACCGAGUUUAACUUGUUAGAUGAUGCACCAAGAUAAUCCAGCGGUAUAGCUUUGUUAAAAGUAAUCGAUGUAAAGUUGUGCUAAGAUCUAAUACCAUUAGAUUUGGAUUAUCUUAAUGCAUAAGGUACCAAAACUCGCAUAUUGAGCUCUUGGGAAGAAGUUCAAAUACCUCUGCCUUGUUAUCACUAUCAGCAAGCCUUUGUUUUAUAUCCCUUGCUAUUGAGAAGAAAACUUCCUCCACAUUAAAAUUUGUCUUUGCACUCUGCAACAGGAACAUUUUCCAUGAGCACAAGAAGAUAAAAAACAUUUGGGAAGUUUAUUUCCACAUUCUAAUAGUAUAUAACAUCACUUACAGUUUCAAAGAAUUUGAUCCCAUACUCAUCAGCAAGUUCUUGGCCCUUGGAUGUCGGCACGGCCUAAAAUGAAAGGCGUAGAUAUAUAUAAUCAAUCACAUAUAUACAUACAUCGGGGUGUUACUAAGAAUUUAAGAUUUAAACAAAACAGAAACAGGAAACUUGCCUACCCUUUUACUUUCAUCCAUGUCAGCUUUGUUCCCUACCAGUAUCUUGUUAACAUUGUCUGAAGCAUGUUGCUCAAUGUUGCGAAUCCAAUUCCUGAUAUCUGAAAUCAGCAGAAGCUGGUGAACAUUCCAGAUGGAAAGGCCAAACAAGUUUAAAGAGAUUUUGCAUGGAUAUGCUUAUUUCAAAUUCAAGCAACAACAGCUGGGAACUUUACUGUUAAAUGAUGCUUCGUCUGUAACGUCAUAGACUAGUAAUAUUCCCAUUGCACCGCGAUAGUAAGCUGCGAAAAUUAAAGAAAAACAUGAUUUCAAGAAGAGAUAUAAGAACAAAACAACAAUACUACAUGUACGCCAAAACUAAGGUAGCGUUUGUUUUGAGGUACUGAGACAGAGACUGAGAGACUGAGACUUAGUAUCAUGUUUGUUGGUUCAGAGACUGAUACUAAAAUUUCUGUCUUUGUCCCCAAAAUUUCAGUAUUUCAGUACCUCCAAAAAGUGGGGACACAGAGGACUUAAAUUUUUAGAAAUGGAGACUGAAACUUUAAUAACAUUUUAUACCUAAAAUACCUUCAUUUCAAUUAAUUAAUUCUAAUUUUACCUUUUGUACAAAUUAAAUUAGAAUUUCAUUAUUAUUUCAAUUUCUGUCUCCCACUUUACACCAAACAGAAUACUGAUAUUUAUUUCUCUUGUCUUUCCGUCUCAGUCUUUCUGUCUCUAUCUCUCCACCAAACGCUACCUAAAGGAACUUCCAGUAAUCAAAUAAAGGAUCACUAAUAUCUUUAAGAUGCACAAUACUACAUGUGGCCACCUGUAUAAAUAACAUGUUGAAAUACAAAAUAUACAUUGAAAAUAAGUGAAACAACAUAUGUAUUUAUACACAAAUACAUAGUAUCUGAUUCAAUGGCUAAUUUUUUUACCUACACAUAGCAUUUUUGCUUUACGAUUUACAUCAAUAAUUUGCUCAAACAUAUGUAAGAGAUCGAAAAAAUUUGAAUGUGUGACAUAUAAGCAUGAUAAAAUCAAUAUGAUAGUAGCUAAAUAAGCUUACCAGUUGUAAUUGUUCGAAACCGCUCCUGACCUGCAGUAUCCCAAAUUUGGAGCUUGAUCCGUUUGCCAUCGAGCUCAAUCGUUCUUAUCUUAAAAUCAAUACUGCAUUUGAAGGGUAGGCAUUGUGAAUUUGUGAUCUGAGCAACACUUUGCAAACUCAAAUUGCAAAAACUUACCCUAUGGUUGUGAUGAAACUAGUGGUGAAAGAACCAUCAGAGAAUCGUAGAAGGAUGCAACUUUUACCAACACCUGCCAUAAACACCAACCCCAGCUACAUUUUACACAAUUCGAAGGAGAAGCUGAAUUUAAUAACAUAAAUCAUGAAAAACAAGGCAUUGAAAAUAAACUUACCACUAUCGCCGAUCAAGAGAAGCUUUAUGAGAUAAUCGUAAUCGGCACGAGCCCUUCCGAAAUGAAUCUAUUGCAAGUUGCAACGCAACAGUGGCGAAAGUUUUGUCCCUUCGGAGAGAGAGAGAGAGAGAGUGGAGUGAGCAAAGGCAGAUGGUGAUUUUUUUAGACAGACAAAAGGAGAGGUGGCUUUGUUUUUGUGUCAUUAUUAUUAUUGUUUUGUUUUAGGAAACAAAAAACCAAAAAACAUGCUUUUAGGAUUUUGACCAAACAGACAAGGUGGCUGUGUUUACAACCUUGUACUUUCAACCUGCCUCCGUCUAUUUCUCUCUUCUCAUCUCUUUAUUUUCUUCUUUUUUUUUUUUACCAAUAAUAAUAAAAUCAAUGCAUAAUAAGAUGAAAUUUUCACAUGAAAAAUACCACAGUAACACUAACUGCUCACAGAUUUUUUUAAAUGAAUAACUUAAUUCUUUUAUUUACUGAAAUAUAUAAUUUAUAAAAUAUUUACGAAUUUGUGUGGUUUUACUUAUUUCGUUUAUACUUUAAACGAAUUGAUUUUAAGUGAGAUAAGACACGUAUAUAAUUACACGUAUCACAUGUGUAAAUGUGUUGUGAUACGUUACUUAAACGAGAUAAACUUAAGCGUCACCUAUAUAAAGACUUGAUAGCAGUGUCUUAAAAUGUCAUUUUCAUAGCUUUUUACACUUUUUUUUCUCAUACUUAGUUUUUUUUAUUAUUAUUGAGGAACUUGGACAUUAUUGCGCGCGUAUAUGCACAAGAUGACGAUAUCAACCACCUGAACGCAACGUAGCAUAUCGCGAGAAUGUCAGGUUAGUGUUGUUAUUUUUCCUUUUAAAUAAAGAAGCAUAUAAUUAUAGUUAGGGUAUUUUUAUAGAUUUAAUUGGUUAUAUACUUAUAUAUGAGUAGGAAGAAGAUUCCGAACGGGUCCAUCUACAAGAAUCUUUGGUAUAAACUCUUUUUCAUCCUUAGAAGAACCACUUUCAUUAUUAUCGACAAUAUAUUUUUUAUCUGACUCCUCACUGUCCACGUCCAUGUCUCUUAUUGGACUAGCGCAGUGCAUAAGUAGUGGUAUAAGAGGUGGAGGUCAUCUUGGGACAAAAUUCAAGCACCCAUAACCACUACGACCCACGUCACUAACCUCCACAGAAAACUCCAUCACUUGUUGGGCCAUAAUUAUCCCGUAGACAUCAAACAUUAGGCAUACAUGUUCAUCGCCAAUACGGGUGGAAACAAGCCAAGUCAGGCUAGACUUCACCCUUAACAGGUCAGACCUGUAAUGUAUUUAACUGGCUUGAGCCUAACCUAUAAUCUAUUAUAGGCUUUAUUUUAUUAAGUUUGGUCUGUUAUUAAACUUNNNNNNNNNNNNNNNNNNNNNNNNNNNNNNNNNNNNNNNNNNNNNNNNNNNNNNNNNNNNNNNNNNNNNNNNNNNNNNNNNNNNNNNNNNNNNNNNNNNNNNNNNNNNNNNNNCUAUACAAUUUUUUUUUUAUAUUUAUUUAUAUUUUAACAGACUCAGACAGGCUUAUUAGGCUAUUUUGUGAACCUAGACAUGCCUAUUAAUAGAAUCAGGCUUUUAAAAUCAGCUUGAACCUGAAACUAUUUUAUGACAGGCCAAAUGCAGGCCACCUGACCUAUUUUCACUCCUAAUCGCCAUCAAGUCAAAAAACACGAAAUCGAAAUACUUGAUUUUUCAUAUGUGCUAACAACCUAUACCCAACUCUUCCAACCUCAUUUGUCCCAUUAACACCGAUGCUCGUCAAUAUUAAACUCUUCAACUCAAAAACUUAAUCUUCGAGUGCGCAAAAGAAUAGGACUAUCACACGUCUCAAACACAACCUCAUCGUCAUUAUUUCUCAUGUGACAACUAGGAUAUACACUUACAAAAAUAUAUUCACUACCACUAGACAUUUUUACUAAACUUAUCAAAAGAACGUAGAAAAAGAAGUGAUAUGUUUGCGAAUAAGGCUAAUACUUACAUAUUCUUUUGUAGCUGGUUGAAAUUUAUCGUGCUAUAUUUCAUUUAAAGUAUAAACGAAAUAAUUAUCCUUUUAUCUCUUUUACACUGUUAACAAAUUGACUUUGAAUGUGUAAAUAAUAUAUGUGUAGUCCGCUGUCUUUCACGUAUCAUGUUUAUAUCCGUGAUACUUAUUUAAAAAAAUAUGUCCUAUCUCAUUUACAGUAUAAAUGAGAUAUAUAAAAAUACAUAAAUUUAUAAAUUAUUAAUAAAUUACCUAUUUCAAUAAAUAAAAAAAUUAAAUUAUUUAUUUAAAAAAAUUUGCUGUUCACUCGUACCUAGACUUGGUCGCUUUUUAAUUUACAUAUGGAUGCAUAAAAGGUGCUAGACGCUGAUAUGGGAGAGGGGUGUGCUAAACAUUUUUGUGGUGUCAGUGGAGGAACUAAUCGGACCCUGCGAGUUGGGAUGGAGGAGCAACUCGGACCCUGCGAUAUGCGAAAGCCACAUGGACCGUCCAAUUUGCGUUUAACCAAACGCACGGUCCGAUUUCCUCUCACUUGGACACGCGUCGCGCAGGGUUGGCUCGGAGAAGCGGUGCCCUGAAACCAAACGAAGACCAAUUUAUCUAUUCUCACCAUCCGAAUUAACUCAUUCUCACAUUUCACUUUCAACAUCACUCCCACCUUCUUCUUCUUCCUUUCACCAUAGUUCUGAAAGCUACUUGCUUGAAGAAAGAAGAACAUGCCAAAAAAAAUAAAAUUAAAGAUGUUGAUCGACCUGAGCUUCAUAUUAUUCAUUAUCUUAGUCAUUCUGAUUAUGUAAGUGUUAUUUUUAAAUUUUGUAAAUUUUUUAUAUUUAUAAUUAUUAUUGUUAGAAAUAUAAUUAUUAUGAUUAUUGUUAGAAAUGCAAGUUAGAAAUAUAAUUAAAUUUUAUUAUAAUUAUAAUUGGAAAGAACGUGUAAACUUUUUAAAAAUUUUUAAAUUUUUUUUACUAUAACUGUUAUGGAUGAAGUUAAACGUUUUUGUUAUCGUGAGAAAUUGUUAGUACUUACUGAAUGAUUAGUGGAAUUAUUUUUAUUAAAGCACGUUAGGUUUUAUUAUGAUGAUAUUUAAAUUUUGUUAAUUGUAAUCAUCAUUAUUAGCAAGUUAAUUGUUCUUACCGUUGUUAGAAAAUAAAGGAUACCGGUUAGUAAUAUUUUUUGAUAGUUGAGGAAAUAAUGUUUCAAUGAUAGUAAAUCAGUAAUUACUAUUAGAUAUUAUGGUAGAUGUUGUAACUUCAGAAUUUUGAUUAGGAAUAUUUGCAUUGAUAAUUAUUUUCAUUAGUUGUUAGUUAUGGAUAAAAUUAAGGUUUAAUAAUUAAUUUUAGAAGUAAGAAUAAUUAGAGUUAAAAGGAUUUAGUAAAAUGAUUCAUGAUAGUCAUAUAGUAAUUGUUAAUGAGCUGACUACGAAUUUGUUAUCUUUUUUGUAGAAAUUAAGAAUGUUGACUUGUAAUCACCCAGUUCCUCCGGAUUGGUACAACGAUAGGGUGGAGGACCUUUUACGACUUACCGGUUUUUAUCAUGCAUCGCAGAUUGGGGUAGUGCAGUGUCAGAAAGCAUUGGUGAAUGCUCUGAUCGAAUGUUGGCACCCAGAAACACAUACGUUUCACCUUCCCAUUGGUGAAUGUGCCAUGACUCUUGAAGAUGUGGCUCUAAUUCUUGGUCUUCCCACAGAUGGUCUUCCAGUCACAGGGAUGACAAUGAGUAGUUUUGAAGCAUUGGAGGCGGAGUGUUUGAUUCAAUUUGGAGUUGUACCGCGUAAGUCGGACUGUAGACGUAGCUGCAUAAAACUUACCUGGUUGCAGGAUCUAAAAGAAAAUUUAGAGUUGACUGAUGAUAUCAGUAUACAGAGGUAUGUGAGGUGCCAUAUUAUGUUGCUGGUUGGGACGAUCUUGUUUGGGGAUAAGUCUCGGACAGGUGUGCACUGGAAAUUUCUACCCUUGCUACGUGAUUUUGUUAGUAUUGGACAGUAUAGUUGGGGAGCGGCAUGCCUAGCACACCUCUACAGGGCGUUAUGCAGGGCAUCUCGUUUUAACUGCAAGGAAAUAGAUGGUCCACUAACACUUCUACUCGGUUGGGCUUGGAUCCGGCUGCCAUAUCUAUCGCCGCUACCUAGGGAACCCCGCAGUUUUUCGCUAGCAAACAGGUAAUAAUUUGUUACAAUGUACUCGUAUCUUGAUAUUUAAGAUUCAGUUAAUGCUAGUUGAGCUAAUUGAAUAUAUCAUAUUAGGUGGCGUAACUGGGAGCGUGGUGACCGACGAUAUAGAUAUCUGAAGUUAGCUCACUUUAGGAAGGCUUGAUGAACUUCGGGAAGGGCAGGUGUGUUUUAAUUAAAGAAGUAUUAGUUUCCGGUUUAGGGUCUGAGACAUAAUUAUAAAGCAUUGUUAUUGUUAUUGGUAUUGUGGAUUUCACUGUCACUAUUAUAAUCUUCCCGUACAAUAUUCCGGUCGGCCUCAGAUUGUUCAAACUCAACAUACAACUCGAUGAACGAGAUCUGAGCCCGGUUUUCAAUAUACAUUGAGAGCAUCUCUUGCAUGCUCGCUUCGUCCGUCACAUAUUUGGUUUGAAACUGGACGAAUCCACCAAACACCUGUACGGGAUAUCUGUAGAGAAUACAGGAUAUCUUUCUUGCCCUCUCAGAAUCAAUCUUUUCACAGAUCACACUUUUGAGCUCUUCAAAUGAGAUGAUAAAAGGAAUAACAACAUCUAGCGAAUUUUCACAAAUAAAUUUUACUCCUUCAGAUGUUUGUAGUAAAAUCUGACCAAAAUAAUACACUUUUAGUAACACUCUAUCACUCAUUUCUGUGAAUCACCAAAAAAAGCAUAGAAAUAGCUACUAGAUUUUCAACUUUAAAACAGCAAGUAAUAAAGAAACGAGAAAGAAGAAACAGAAGACGCAGCCGUUCAAGUUCGGGAAGAAGACGCGAAUAAUUGAUGAGUUCACUUCCCACUUUUAUAUAGACCACUUAAACGAACUCGCACCCUUCGACUAGGUUAACAUGAUUAAAAAAAUAUUAAGAAAUGAAAUCGGACCAUGCGAUUUCAGCUCUCAGUUCACCAAAACAAUUUCCAUAUGCACUCAAAACGGAGGGUCCGAGUUCUUUUCAAAAUCAAAGCAUGGAACUCAGACCAUGCGACUUGUACUACAUUGCAUAUUAAAAAACCACGUUAAGGUAACAUGGAGGGUCUGAUUUAGAGCACCCCAAAUUUUAUUUCUCAUUAGCAUACAAAUCGGACCGUGCGAUUUGAUAUGCAAAAUUCAUAAACAAAGAAAACGCACGGUCCGAGUUCUUCUCCGUGACACUGCCAAAAAGCUGUCCCACAUAUACGUCUAGUCCCCCAUGCUUCCAUAUCCAAGAAAAGCACACAUAUAGGUUCGAUUUCGAUAAAAUUGAGCCAGACUUGGUAAUUAUGAUUUGAGGCUAUUUAAAAAAAAAAUAGAAAAAAAUUGUGUGUAAUUUAUCAUUAUGAAUAAUUGGUGUGUUUUUUUUAUAUGGAUUUAUUUUUUUUAAUUUUAAGUAACAAAUCGGACCCUCAUAUUUAAAGAAAUAGAGAAAUCUAAGGGUUAGAUUUUAUAGUGCACAAAUCAAAAGGUUCGAUUUAUGUUAAAAUAAAUUUUUUUUUCUAUGAUGAAGCAAAUCGAAAAGUCCGAUUUAAACCUUUAAAAAUUUUUUAAAAUUAAAAUACAAAUCAAAAUACAAAUCCUUAGAUUUGUAUAGUUAAAAAAAUUUAAAAUAAUCUCAAAUUUGAGUAUUUAAUAAAAAAAUAAAAGUCACAAAUCUGAUUCUUAGAUUUGUGUUCUCCUUAUAAAAAAAAUACAUAAAACUGUCCACAUUAUUUAAAACGACAUUAGGAGUCCAAUAACAAAAAUAAAAAACGACGAUUUGAUAUACUCGGAGCUAAAAAAUAAAUUGAUAAAAUCACAAAUGAAUAUAUUUUAAUCAACUUGGGUCAAAUUAAAGUAGUUAGCUAAUUUAUUUAUUUAAACAAUAAUUAAAAUUUUAAAUUUUAUUUUGUAUAUAUAUUAAUUUAUUGAUUAAUAACAAAUUUUUAAAUAAAAUAUAAAUUUAGAAUAAACUGNNNNNNNNNNNNNNNNNNNNNNNNNNNNNNNNNNNNNNNNNNNNNNNNNNNNNNNNNNNNNNNNNNNNNNNNNNNNNNNNNNNNNNNNNNNNNNNNNNNNNNNNNNNNNNNNNNNNNNNNNNNNNNNNNNNNNNNNNNNNNNNNNNNNNNNNNNNNNNNNNNNNNNNNNNNNNNNNNNNNNNNNNNNNNNNAACUGAUCUUUAUAUUAUCAAAUUAGAGGACCAUGAGGAAUUAAAAUUAAAAGACAAAAAUGUAUAUAUUCUUUUGAGUUCCACGCCCUUUAGCAGGAGGAAACUUAGGGGGUAAGUAUUCAUUUGGUUCACGCAGCAUUUACUUUGUUCGUGCAUGUCCCAAACGUUGUUGGAAUUGGGUCGAUUUUGUUUGCAGCAUAUUUUUGGUAGCAAAUGUGUGAUUUGUUUACUUUUUCAUAAGCUGAUGAGUGAUGAUGGUGGUUCUUCUGAAUGCAAAGGUAACUAGAAUUGAAAGCCACGUAUCUAUUGGCAAUUAUUUUUUACAAACAAAUAAAUGAAAUUUUCGUUUGUGCUUCCCACAUGCUGAUGUGCAUAUUCAUAUUAAAGUUUAGAUUAUAUUAUUCCUAUUACCGGAUUAUCCUAUGUAUGUAUGUACAAUUGACUCAAUUAAAGGCUCACCCAACUGAUGUGUGCCACGUGCCAUGUGCGAAUGAUAGAGCAUUUUUGUCUCUAAUAAUAAUAUUAGAACAUAGCAUUAGUUAAUUAUUUUGUUUUUGUAAAGAAAACAGUAAAAACAAACAAGGGUCUUCUUCAAAGAUUAAUAACGUCGUAAAAUUGCUAGGCCAAGUAUAUUCUUCUAAAAAAGAAAAAGUUUGAUGAAAAGUAGGAUCCUUAUUCUUUAGGCUCAUCCACAUUCAACAAUAUAAUAAUUAAUUAAUUAAGAAUUCGUAUAAUAUAAUUAAAAAGAUGCCAAAAUUAAAGGUAUAAUAUAUAAUAUGUGAAAACAUAAUGAAUGGGGCCAGAGCAUAAUGUAGUAAUAAUAAUGCUCAAGGUAUAUGCCGAAGAAGAUCCUUUGUUCUUUGCCCCCACCAUAACCAAAAAGGAAUGCUUUUUCUAUUCUUUAUAGCUCACAAAACUCACCCUCCCAUCGAUCUUCUCUUUCAGCUUAAGGUGUAUGUUCUUCAUCAAUUGCAAUUGAAAUUCGGGUUAUGAUGAUGGCAACAAGCACUUGCAACUUGGAGCAUAACGAUGGUGAUGAUGAUGAUGAAGAAGACACGAAGUAGUUCUGCUUCUCUGUUGAUCAAGUAACCAAUGAUUACUAUUGAAUAUCAUUUGGGCAACUGAAUAUCCUUUGGCACCAAACACAUACAUAUACAUCAUCCUUGCUCCUCUCUAUACCCUUUUCAUUUUCACAACAAAUAAUACUAUACAAGGUUUAUUUAUAUUUUCUAUAUUAGGCAAGUUUAUUAUGGUUGCUUAGUACUAGUUAUUAAUAUUAUUCUAUGCCUUUCAUGUUAUAUUGGACACCAAUUUAAUUUGCAGUGAUAUGAUCAUUUUUGCUUUCGGUUCCUUUUUCUCUUUUUUUUUAGGCUAAUUAUAUUUUUUGCCAUUUGAAAAGCUAACCCCGGAAACAAUGUGUUUAUAUGGCAUAUUCUUAAGUCUAUGACCCUCUUCUUCGGUAAUAACGUGUUGUAUGUGAUUAUAAUUGUCAUUUGAUUUCGUUGUCAACCGUCUCAUCUUGAGAAGAAUUAUUGGCAUAUAGUCAUAUACUGAAUUCUUCAGCUUACUUUUCGAGGAUUAUUGUAUGCGGAUUGGAGAUAUGAGAUCUCAAUAUUAAAUUAACUAUUAAGUAUGAUUUUAUACAUUGAAAUGUUAUCAGGCAAAUUAAAACGGGAUAAUUAAGCUUUCUCCUUCUUUAAUUACCCAUAUCAUCCAAUGACCAAUAGUAAGCUACACAAAUAAAUAGCAAAUAAAAAAGGUUAUAGAACAGAAGUUACGUAACGAGUUUAGAGAAAAAUUUAUUGAACUGCGUUAAGGUGAUAAUGAUACAUCUUCAUAAUGUGUACAAUAAAUUUUAAAUUUGGUCUAAUACAAGAAAAUAAAAAUUCAAAUAGUUAUUUCAAAAAAUCAAUCAUUCCAAUUCUAAUUUACUAAUAGAAUUUACCUAAACAUCCUCUAUCUCCCUCCUAAUUUCACUAGGAAGACAAUGAAAAAUUUUGACAAUGUGUUCAAUGAAUUUUAAAUGAGGUCCAAUACAAGGAAAAAAAAAUCCAAACAAUUUUUUCAAAAAAUUAAUCAUUCCAACUCUAGUUUACCAAUAGAAUUUACUCAAACACUCUCUUCUCCCCCCUCUCCAACUGUCUGCUAUCCCAUUCUCAUCAAUCAUCUCACCUCUCCGACGUUAGAAACUCCGUCUCCCUCAUACAAUUAAUCACCCGACUAUCUAGUGAAAUGACAAUCUAGCAUUUGUUAAAAUAACCAUCUACAUAUUUAGGAAAUUAAACAUCUAGUAUCUAAAUUCGUCAGUCUUCAACCCACUCGAAGCGAACUCGGACACAAAAUCCUCGAUCCUCUCUAUUGGCCUCUCCGCCAAAUGCUUCCUUCGGAAUCAUCAAUACGAACAAAUGACGAAAGCCAAGCCAGAGAGGAGAACCCACACGGAACCAGGGGGCACUUGUGGCCGCCGCUGCCGUCGGCCUUUCCAGCGAGUGCUACGACGAAGGCGAGAAGGAUCUAGGCCGCGACGUCGUUGAAGGCGGCGGCGGCCAUGACGGUCUUGGACUGUACGAUGAACGCAAUGUGCGUAAAGGGGGUGUCUUCGUCAGACAUUCUUGGACAGUUGGACGGCGUCGAGUUGCGUUCUAGGCAGCAGACGGUGGUGAUCUUAGCGGCGUCAGUUUGGAGAGAGUGGAAGAAACUGCCAAAGAAAAAGAAACUGCAGCACGUUCUUUGAAAAGCAUUGAAUUUGUUGAACCUAGUUAGGGUUUGGUUAGUUAUAAGAGGCUUGUUGCACAAUAUGAGAUUUCAUCAAUGUGUUAUUCAAUUGAAUUGUAUAUUGGCAGCCCAAAAAGGGAUAAUUGAAUUGUAUGAGAAAAUUGACGUUGAAUAAUUAGCCUUGACUUGACAAUGUAUCCUGUAAGAUCUUUAAUUUUUUGCAGUUUGAGUGCCUCGGUAAGUUGUUUUAAAGUCAUCAAUAAAUUUAACUCUGAAUAUUAUCAAUGAACUUUUCAUCUUCAAUUUUUAUUAUAUCUUAAAUUUUAUUAAUUGGUGGUUCUUCUGAAUGCAAAGGUAACUAGAAUUGAAAGCCACGUAUCUAUUGGCAAUUAUUUUUUACAAACAAAUAAAUGAAAUUUUCGUUUGUGCUUCCCACAUGCUGAUGUGCAUAUUCAUAUUAAAGUUUAGAUUAUAUUAUUCCUAUUACCGGAUUAUCCUAUGUAUGUAUGUACAAUUGACUCAAUUAAAGGCUCACCCAACUGAUGUGUGCCACGUGCCAUGUGCGAAUGAUAGAGCAUUUUUGUCUCUAAUAAUAAUAUUAGAACAUAGCAUUAGUUAAUUAUUUUGUUUUUGUAAAGAAAACAGUAAAAACAAACAAGGGUCUUCUUCAAAGAUUAAUAACGUCGUAAAAUUGCUAGGCCAAGUAUAUUCUUCUAAAAAAGAAAAAGUUUGAUGAAAAGUAGGAUCCUUAUUCUUUAGGCUCAUCCACAUUCAACAAUAUAAUAAUUAAUUAAUUAAGAAUUCGUAUAAUAUAAUUAAAAAGAUGCCAAAAUUAAAGGUAUAAUAUAUAAUAUGUGAAAACAUAAUGAAUGGGGCCAGAGCAUAAUGUAGUAAUAAUAAUGCUCAAGGUAUAUGCCGAAGAAGAUCCUUUGUUCUUUGCCCCCACCAUAACCAAAAAGGAAUGCUUUUUCUAUUCUUUAUAGCUCACAAAACUCACCCUCCCAUCGAUCUUCUCUUUCAGCUUAAGGUGUAUGUUCUUCAUCAAUUGCAAUUGAAAUUCGGGUUAUGAUGAUGGCAACAAGCACUUGCAACUUGGAGCAUAACGAUGGUGAUGAUGAUGAUGAAGAAGACACGAAGUAGUUCUGCUUCUCUGUUGAUCAAGUAACCAAUGAUUACUAUUGAAUAUCAUUUGGGCAACUGAAUAUCCUUUGGCACCAAACACAUACAUAUACAUCAUCCUUGCUCCUCUCUAUACCCUUUUCAUUUUCACAACAAAUAAUACUAUACAAGGUUUAUUUAUAUUUUCUAUAUUAGGCAAGUUUAUUAUGGUUGCUUAGUACUAGUUAUUAAUAUUAUUCUAUGCCUUUCAUGUUAUAUUGGACACCAAUUUAAUUUGCAGUGAUAUGAUCAUUUUUGCUUUCGGUUCCUUUUUCUCUUUUUUUUUAGGCUAAUUAUAUUUUUUGCCAUUUGAAAAGCUAACCCCGGAAACAAUGUGUUUAUAUGGCAUAUUCUUAAGUCUAUGACCCUCUUCUUCGGUAAUAACGUGUUGUAUGUGAUUAUAAUUGUCAUUUGAUUUCGUUGUCAACCGUCUCAUCUUGAGAAGAAUUAUUGGCAUAUAGUCAUAUACUGAAUUCUUCAGCUUACUUUUCGAGGAUUAUUGUAUGCGGAUUGGAGAUAUGAGAUCUCAAUAUUAAAUUAACUAUUAAGUAUGAUUUUAUACAUUGAAAUGUUAUCAGGCAAAUUAAAACGGGAUAAUUAAGCUUUCUCCUUCUUUAAUUACCCAUAUCAUCCAAUGACCAAUAGUAAGCUACACAAAUAAAUAGCAAAUAAAAAAGGUUAUAGAACAGAAGUUACGUAACGAGUUUAGAGAAAAAUUUAUUGAACUGCGUUAAGGUGAUAAUGAUACAUCUUCAUAAUGUGUACAAUAAAUUUUAAAUUUGGUCUAAUACAAGAAAAUAAAAAUUCAAAUAGUUAUUUCAAAAAAUCAAUCAUUCCAAUUCUAAUUUACUAAUAGAAUUUACCUAAACAUCCUCUAUCUCCCUCCUAAUUUCACUAGGAAGACAAUGAAAAAUUUUGACAAUGUGUUCAAUGAAUUUUAAAUGAGGUCCAAUACAAGGAAAAAAAAAUCCAAACAAUUUUUUCAAAAAAUUAAUCAUUCCAACUCUAGUUUACCAAUAGAAUUUACUCAAACACUCUCUUCUCCCCCCUCUCCAACUGUCUGCUAUCCCAUUCUCAUCAAUCAUCUCACCUCUCCGACGUUAGAAACUCCGUCUCCCUCAUACAAUUAAUCACCCGACUAUCUAGUGAAAUGACAAUCUAGCAUUUGUUAAAAUAACCAUCUACAUAUUUAGGAAAUUAAACAUCUAGUAUCUAAAUUCGUCAGUCUUCAACCCACUCGAAGCGAACUCGGACACAAAAUCCUCGAUCCUCUCUAUUGGCCUCUCCGCCAAAUGCUUCCUUCGGAAUCAUCAAUACGAACAAAUGACGAAAGCCAAGCCAGAGAGGAGAACCCACACGGAACCAGGGGGCACUUGUGGCCGCCGCUGCCGUCGGCCUUUCCAGCGAGUGCUACGACGAAGGCGAGAAGGAUCUAGGCCGCGACGUCGUUGAAGGCGGCGGCGGCCAUGACGGUCUUGGACUGUACGAUGAACGCAAUGUGCGUAAAGGGGGUGUCUUCGUCAGACAUUCUUGGACAGUUGGACGGCGUCGAGUUGCGUUCUAGGCAGCAGACGGUGGUGAUCUUAGCGGCGUCAGUUUGGAGAGAGUGGAAGAAACUGCCAAAGAAAAAGAAACUGCAGCACGUUCUUUGAAAAGCAUUGAAUUUGUUGAACCUAGUUAGGGUUUGGUUAGUUAUAAGAGGCUUGUUGCACAAUAUGAGAUUUCAUCAAUGUGUUAUUCAAUUGAAUUGUAUAUUGGCAGCCCAAAAAGGGAUAAUUGAAUUGUAUGAGAAAAUUGACGUUGAAUAAUUAGCCUUGACUUGACAAUGUAUCCUGUAAGAUCUUUAAUUUUUUGCAGUUUGAGUGCCUCGGUAAGUUGUUUUAAAGUCAUCAAUAAAUUUAACUCUGAAUAUUAUCAAUGAACUUUUCAUCUUCAAUUUUUAUUAUAUCUUAAAUUUUAUUAAUUUUUUUUACUUAAAAAUUAAUGAAUUUUAAUAUGUAAAUUUAUAUAUUAAAUUUUAAUAAUUUUAUUUAAUAUUUAAUUAAACCGAUUGAAUCCCGAUUAGACCGGUCGAACCACUAAACCAAUAAACCAGUCACUUUAUCAGUUCAUUGAUCGGUUCAAUUUUCACAACCUUGCUUAUUACUAGUUAGGUCGAUAUUAGCCAAACUCAAAUCAAUAUGAUAUUAUUCAUUAAAAAUAGUUCCAAUUUAAUAGUACCACAAAUCACGUCAGUAAAAUAUUUUUAUGAUCAACUAGUUUUGUAACUUUAGCCUACGGAGUUGGUUUAAAUGGUAUAUGCAUAUAAUUAUUCCUUAAUUCAAACAUUGAAUCUAAUUAAAAAAAUUGUAGUUAAAAAUAGUUUUUGCGAGUAAACUAUUAUUUUUAUUCAUAAAAAUUUUAAAUGCUGAUAAAUUUAUUUACGAAAAAAUCAAAUUAAAAUUAUAUCUAUAAAGAUGAUUUAUGUACGAUAAAAUUAUCUAAAUUCUAAAAAAUGAUAUAAAAAUUUCAAAUUAUCCUAUAUAGCUGAUACCAAAUUUUUAACUAAACUUGCAAGAAAAAAUAGAUUCAUUUUUUUCUAUAUGAAAAUAAUUAUGGUGUAAUCCAAUGAAAUUGAGGUGUGCAAAAAAAUUAAGCUGCUAUAGUGUCAACUCAAAUUGCAACAUGUGUUUUACCCUUUUUUAUUGUUUUUUUUUGUUUAUCAAAAAUAAUCAAAACACAGCCUACGCUUUAUGCUUUUUGGAAUUUUUUAAUUUUUUUUAUUAUUUUCUUUAGGUCCAAACGCACCCUGCGUUUAUGGAUGCACAAUGUUUAAUUUUCUUUUUGAAACUCAAAAACAGGUUGCGUUUUGUGUAAGAAAAAUGAUUUUAAACGAGAGUCUUAGCUAUAAAUACGAAAGGAGACACAUCCAUACUUUCUUACCUCCCUUCUAUUCUUAUUACUCUUUCUUUUAUAUAUCUCAUAUUUGUGAGUUUUUUUGGCAUUUAGUAGUAUCAAAAAAGUCGGAUUAGGUGAGAUUGAGAUUAUGAAAGGUAUUACAAAUAUGCGAGUGUAUUAUAAUGAUGAGAUUAUACCAAACACACACGAAGGAGUGACUUUUGUAUGUGAGUGUCCGUUUUUAUUUGCUAUUCCAUGUACCGUGAGUUUUUUAGAGUUGCAAAAUGGUCUUUGUGAGAACAUAGAAAGUCACAUUUUGAAAAGAGUGAGCAAUAUUUUGUACAAGUAUUUGGUGGGUUGAUACAGUUUCAACUAAUGUCUACCACUAACGACGCAUGCAUGAAGCGGAUGGUAGAGUUGUACGAUGAGUUUGAGCGGCAAACGGGGAUGGAUGCAGUUGGCAAUGAUAUCAACGUUGAUCAACUCGGGGAUAUAGAUUGGGAAAAAGAUGACAACGACAGUGAAGAGGAGUUUAAACCUAACUAUGAAGUUGAUGACGAAAACGAUGACAGAGACUUGGCAGACAAUCCGGCGGUACAAAAUGAGGCGCAUGCGAUUGUAAUCAGCACCCCUUUGGCGUUCCAUCUUUUAUGCGGACUAUGGAUCUCGAAGCCAUGCAUACCCUGAAAUUUCCUGAGUAUGCGAAUAUCGGUAUGUUAUCUUAUGAUUAUUAAUUAAAGUUGCCACUUCCAUUUAUUUUAUUUGUCUUGUCCAACUGAUGGUGGUUCGCAUGUCAUAGGGGAAGGCAAUGUUGCGGCCGAAGACGGUGAGUUGAGUGUCGAAAUGGAAUUUAGUUCUAGAGACGGUGAAAUCUGCAAUCAAAAGUUACAUAAUCUCUAAAGGAGUUUAUUACACUGUUUAUGAGUUUGAGCUGCGGACAUUAUAUGUGAACUGCAAGGGUUAUGGUGCAGGGUGCGAUUGACUUAUCCGAGCUAGCUUGAUUUGAAAUAAGGGGUGUUGGGAGAUCAGGGGAUACAAUGACAAACACACGUGCACCAUGGGUACGAUUUCACAAAAUCAUGCCAAGUUGGACCAGACACAAUUGCAGAUGCCAUAAUGCCAUUGGUUGAAGCAGACCCGUCGAUGAAUGUGAAGUCUAUUAUUGUAGAAGUUUAGUCCAAGUUCAACUACACUAUAAGUUACCGCAAGGCUUGGUUGGCAAAGUAGAAAUCUGUUACAAAAAUUUUCGAUGAUUGGAAAAAUUUUUACCAGACUCUGCCAGUAUGGUUGAAGGCAAUGAUUGCGAAGAUGACAAGGUCUUGUGUUAAAAUAAAAACGCUCCCCAUUUACCGUGAGAGUGAGGAGGUUCAAGGUGUAAAAAUUCUCCAUCACAUUUUUUAGAAUUUCUAUCCAUGUAUUAUAGCAUUCAGACACUGCAAGCCACUGGUAAAAAAUGAUGGCACGCACCUGUACAAAAAAUAUAAAGGUGCACUUCUGGUAGCGGUUGCACAAGAUGGGAAUCAAAACAUUGUGCCUAUUGCAUUUGUGAUUGUCGAGGGCGAGACAGCAGACGCGUGGGAGUUUUUUCUAACCAAUUUGCGGAGAUAUGUUGUUACCAUUGAUGGUGUGGGUAUUAUUUAUGACCGCCAUACCUCCAUCGACGCUGCAAUAGCUCGCAGUAACGGUGCAUGGUCACCACCAAGGGCGUGGCACAUGUAUUGCAUCAGGCACAUCGGGUCCAACUUCUUAAGGAGGUUCAAGGCUCCAUAUUUGCAUAAACUCGUGGUGAAUAUANNNNNNNNNNNNNNNNNNNNNNNNNNNNNNNNNNNNNNNNNNNNNNNNNNNNNNNNNNNNNNNNNNNNNNNNNNNNNNNNNNNNNNNNNNNNNNNNNNNNNNNNNNNNNNNNNNNNNNNNNNNNNNNNNNNNNNNNNNNNNNNNNNNNNNNNNNNNNNNNNNNNNNNNNNNNNNNNNNNNNNNNNNNNNNNNNNNNNNNNNNNNNNNNNNNNNNNNNNNNNNNNNNNNNNNNNNNNNNNNNNNNNNNNNNNNNNNNNNNNNNNNNNNNNNNNNNNNNNNNNNNNNNNNNNNNNNNNNNNNNNNNNNNNNNNNNNNNNNNNNNNNNNNNNNNNNNNNNNNNNNNNNNNNNNNNNNNNNNNNNNNNNNNNNNNNNNNNNNNNNNNNNNNNNNNNNNNNNNNNNNNNNNNNNNNNNNNNNNNNNNNNNNNNNNNNNNNNNNNNNNNNNNNNNNNNNNNNNNNNNNNNNNNNNNNNNNNNNNNNNNNNNNNNNNNNNNNNNNNNNNNNNNNNNNNNNNNNNNNNNNNNNNNNNNNNNNNNNNNNNNNNNNNNNNNNNNNNAUCAUAAAAUUUUUAAGAAAAUUACUUAUCCAUUGAAGAAGAUCCGAAUAUUCAAUAAUGUAUUUUUCAGGUUUAAUAAAAUCACGAAUCAUUUUUCGUUUUAAACUAUCUGAAAUUCUAAACCUUCUACUCUUCUUCUUCCCACAAGCUCUCUGAACAACCCUUGCAAGCCUGCCAAAAACAAUCUGCAUUUUGUCUCUGACAGCUACUAAAUGCAACCUCUAUUUUAGAAAUUCUCCAACACAACAGUUCUAGUCUGCAUGCAAGAGACAGGCACACGUUUUAAGACUUUCUUCUCCUUUCCUGCCAAACACAAGCUGCGUUUUGCAAAUUACUAACUUUAGUAGAUCCACAUUUGUGAAUUACACGCCAUGCAACAAUAUACUUAAAGAUCACCAUUUUUACUUUCAUUAAUUAAUUAAUUUAUGGAAAAAAAGACAACAAUUUAGAUUAAAAGAAAAAUAUAUAUAUAUUUUCAAAACGUUUUAAUCGUAUGUUUAUUUGAAUUUUGAAGAUGAAAGUAGUUUUGAAACAUAAAAGCUGCUUAAUAUCUUAAUUCUGAAUAUGAUGGAUUAAUUUUUUUUAAAUUCAUACCUUACUUUUAGCAAAAACAAAUAAACUUGUGUAAAAGAAAUUAAAGUAUUCAAUUUUGAUUUGGCUAAAAAUUUGGGAAAACUUCAUUUGAAAGUUAACCCGCGCAAGAUGAAGGGUAAUUGUCUAUUUGGGUUUAGGCGCGCAGGGAGAUUCCCUACUUUCUCAUUCACAUCUCAGCCGUCCAUUUACAGAGUCCACAAAUGCGCUUCAACGCUGGAUGCAAUGCCCAACUCAACAAUCCGCAUCCUAUACUUCUCAAAUCAAUACAUCGUGACCGUCGAUUCAUGUUUUACUUUAAGAACGUUAUUUCACGGAUAGAAAAUUUUCCACGUCAGCGAUCCGCGUGAAACCCCAGUAGCCAAUAAAAACGCCAAAUUGUUUUUAUAUAUAAGCAACUGCAACCACUCAUCCAAAACACACACAAUUCAACUCAUUCUCAAUUUCCUGAAACAGAAGUCCCAAUAAAUUCCAUACCCUAAUAUCCUUCAGAAUCUCAAAAUCUUGGUUCGUGAUGGCACCUAAGGCAGAGAAGAAACCAGCUGAGAAGAAGCCGGCUGAGGAGAAGAAAUCCGCCGUGGCUGAGAAAGCUCCACCGGCGGAGAAGAAGCCAAAGGCAGGAAAGAAGCUGCCGAAGGAAGGUGCCGCCGCCGGGGACAAGAAGAAGAAGAGGAACAAGAAGAACGUUGAGACCUACAAGAUCUACAUCUUCAAGGUUCUGAAGCAAGUCCACCCUGACAUCGGUAUCUCCAGCAAGGCCAUGGGAAUCAUGAACAGCUUCAUCAACGACAUCUUCGAGAAGCUCGCCCAAGAAGCUUCUAGACUUGCCCGAUACAACAAGAAGCCAACUAUCACCUCGAGGGAAAUCCAGACCGCGGUCAGACUUGUGCUGCCCGGAGAGUUGGCUAAGCACGCCGUUUCUGAGGGUACCAAGGCGGUGACUAAGUUUACCAGCUCUUAAACGAUGUCCUUUGUAUUUUGAGGGUUUUCCGUGUUAGGAAUUUGUUAGAAGUAUGUUUAGAUUUGAAGUAGUGCCUUUUAUUUUUAAUAUCUUGUAAUUGAAGAAAUUGGAUCUGCUCGAUCCUUUUGUGGAUGGAAAUGUAGAAUUGACGGUAUGGUAUAGGAUAGGAUCGCAUACUGCUGUUAUCGUAUCUUGAUAGUUUCCCUAUUAAUGACAGUGCAUUAUUAGUAGAAGAGUUUGACAUAUUCGCUUGAGUAGUAAAGCUGGGAUCAUAACAUGAUAAUUAACUAGUACUCAACAUAACAUGUGGGGCAGGCGUAAUAUGGGCCUUCCUGAUUUAAAAAAAAAAAAACCACGAAGAUAUUUCCUCCUCUUAUAUAGUCAACUGGUCAACACGAACGUGCUAGCUAGCAAGUGCGAAGUAGCAGUUAACGGUGAUGGCCAUGGCUUCAGCAACCUCGAGUCUUACGAUCCUGAGAUCUCCUUCAGCUCUUGUAUCACCGAUUUUUCAUGCGACAAAGAUGUUGAUGCGCAGCGGUUCCUUCAAACCUUCAAAUCUAGGGAAUGGUGAAGUUCCAAAGGAAGAGGUUGUGAUCGUUGGUGGUGGGAUCACCGGGUUGCAACCGCUGUCUCCCUUGACAGGCUUGGAGUGAAGUCGACCGUACUGGAGCAGGCGGAGUCACUCCGUAGCGGUGGAACUUCCCUCACGCUUUCCAAGAAUGGUUGGAGCGUAUUUGAUGCUAUUGGAGUAGCGAAUCGUCUCAGAUCUCAAUUCUCGCAAAUUGAAGGGUACGAUGAUUCAUGAAUAUCAAUUUUGGUGAGGUGGUUCAUAUUUUUCAUAAUAUCAGCUGCACAGGUUGGUUAUCAGAUCCGAGGAUGGAAAGCAACUACGCUCAUUCAAUUUGCUUGAAGAAGAUCCAAGGCAAGAGUGAAGCAAACUUGUUUUUCUUUUUUUUCUUCUAAUUAUUAUAUUGUUUUAUGAUCAUAUUCUUACCGACAGCCAAGAGUUACGUGGUGUGGAGAGGAGAAUACUAUUGGAAACAUUGGCUGCUGAGCUCCCCAAAGGUGCCAUUCAAUUUUCUUCAAAGCUAGCUAGGAUUGAACCAACUUCAGAGGGAGACAUCUUGCUGGAACUUGCAGAUGGCUCUAAGCUGCAUGCAACGGUUUGUUACUGUGGACUAAUCAAGUAUCAAUUAGUUGCAUGAUUACGAAUUCUCCAUUCAGCCGAGUGUGAUGAUAAAGUUGAAUUAGUUCUCAGAAAGUAAGUUGAUUUCAUGUGUAGAGUGUAAUAGGGUGCGAUGGGAUUGGAUCACCGUUGGCUAUUGCGCUAUCCGCGGACUUGCUACUUAUUCAGAUGGUCAGCCUUAUGAACCAAGAGUGAAUUACUUCUACGGAAGAGGGGUGCGUGCAGCAUAUGUUCCUGUUUCUCCCACUAAAGUAUACUGGUUUGUCUGCUUCAACAGUCCAGGAAUCCGCUGGCAGAUCGCUGGCUUUGGCCAAGCAUAAGUCCACCUGCUUCCACGGGUCGAAUUGUGUUGGUUGGAGAUGCGUGGCACCCGAUGACCCCAAAUCUUGGCCAAGGAGCUUGUUGUGCACUUGAGGAUGCAGUGGUUCUUGCUAAGAAGCUUGCAGGGGCCAUCAAGUCUAAAGAGCAAGACUCUGUUGAAGAAGCUUUCAGGUCGUAUGGCUCAGAAAGAUGGCGCCGUGUGUUUCCACUAACCGUACGCGCACACCUUGUGGGUUCCAUAUUGCAGUGGGAGAAUCCAUUGGUGUGUUCUAUUAGGAACAAGAUUAUCAUACCAAAGCUAGCAAGCCUUAAACCGAUGCUUGAGCAUACAAAUUUCACUUGUGAGAGUCUACAAGAAGAGAAGCAAUGAAAGGUGAUGUUUAAAGUAUACUAGUUUCGUUCUAAUUGUAUCAUUUUCUAUAGAAUUAUUCAUAGUUUUAUCACUUAAUUAUUUGUUGUUCAUCCCCAUUAAUUAAGCUUGGGGAAAGAUACUUUUGUUGUAAACUAAUAUCACUGAAUAAAGAACCAUAUUAGCAUUCUAUUUGGUUUCUAUACACUCUUAAAAUUUUAGAAAAUUUCUAUCUAGAUUUCGGUGCUGAGACACCAGUUUCUUUCUUUGGUUGGUCUCUUCCUGAAUCCACAUCCUCAAAACUGGGGAACCUCCAUGUCUUUUAUCCAUAGGCUAAAAUUAACCAUCCAUAUAUAUCACUAAAUAGAUAUACUAGACUCUCACUGUAUUAUGUCAUCAAUAUAAAAUCCGGUUGUAUACCGCUAGAUGUCGUCAUUUCAUGUGUUUGCUAUUUGGCUAAGAGGAAUUAACCUCUAGUCAACACGAGCUAUAAAAAAUAUUGGCGUUGAAAUGAUAAAUAAAGUGAAAGCUGGAAAUUCUUAAAAGUCUUGUCACGUGCCGGUAGCAGAUGGAAAUUUCAGAAAAAAACAUUUUAAAGAACUUACUGACUUUGAAUUUAUAUUUAUUUCCUUUGAAUAAUUAAUUUGUGAAAUUCUCAUUUUCUAAAGCUACAAAAAAAAAAAAACAAAAAUAAACAAAAACAUGAAGUGACCACAAGUAGCAAUUUUUGAUAUACAUAGAUAGCACCUUCUCACCCUUUGUAUACGAUACUCUAACUUUUCUGCGAAGGUGCCAUGCAUUCAACAAUAUAGUUUCCCAAAACUAUAACAUUUUAAUAUUUUAUCAAUAAAUGUGCUUAAAAGUAUAAUUCACAAACUGUUAAGAAAGGUUGACUCUAAUUAAAUAGUUUGAGGGUACGGAUAUAAUACUCAAAUUUAGAAAUAUACAUAAUAUUCAAAAACUUAGGAAAAAUACUAAAUCUUUAUGCAUUAGAUGAAAGAGUGAAAGACUGAAAGACGACCUUUUUUUUUAUUUCAAUAAAUAACGAAAAGAUAUUAUUUCGUAUACUGUGGACAAAAAUACACAGGUCCGAUUUGCACUAAGCACAUACAAAAUGAAUUCGGUCUACAUUUCUCAUAGACUAAUCGCCAAAUGGGCCACCUCUGACCCGGCGCUCGCGAUGUGGAUGCAAGUGAUGUUAGCUUAAGCUUACUCAUACAUACUUUGAUCAUAACUCAGAACAAACUCCACUGUUAAUUGGUUCAAAUGGAUCUUUGAAUUGUUCAAAUUUCUAGUUUUUAAAAACAACCAAAUUAAUUCUAAAAUUUACAAAUUGUGAAUAUCCAUUCAUUCUUAAUUCAAUUAUGGUUAACACAGUAGUAAUAUAAAAUGUUUCGGUACAAGCGUGGCAUUCUAACUGUAAAAUAACAUGGCUAAGAUUUUAGAAUUAAUUAAAUAUGUGCUAAAUUCGUUAAUUCAACUCAUUAAGUUUUAACUUUCUUAGCCAACAGAACACUUUUAUCGCUGCCAUGGAGAAUAUCCCACUAACACUGUACUUUAACACUAUAUUAGCACUAUGUUAGCAUUAGCACUAUGUUAGCAGUAGUUGAAUUGGAGAAUAAUGGGAUUUACUAUUUAUAAAUUCAAGAAUUAAAUUGAUCAUUUUGAGAUGUCAAUGACCAUUUUAAUGAACAUCUGAAAAAUUUUAAAAAUCAAACUGAGAAUUAUUUCUAUUAAUAUGUAUAAGUUAGAUUCAUCAUCAUUGAUAUCAAGCAUUGAUUCCAUCUCCACAAAUACAAAUAUUAUAACUUGUGUUUAUUGAAAAUAAACUUUUAUUUUGAUUUUUCCAUUUAUUAAACAUAACUGCUGGAAUUUAAAAAAAAAAUAUAUUUUUAAAAAAAUAGUUUUAAUAAAUUAUUUUAAAAACUAACUAUGAAUGUCCAAUUACCUAUUAGAAAAUUGCAAAAUAAAAUAAAGAUUGUUAAGGCCUUAAGGGCUAAUUAAUUUCCAUCUAUUUUUACUUGAUAAGCUCCUCCAAAUUUGAGUCAAUAUUCAAAUUUAAGGACUCGUUUCUUUUCUUGUUUUUUCCACGGUGCAGGCUAAUAAGGGCGUGGUCUUUAAAGGCGCGUGAAUGUGGAUUGUGGAGCCAUGUUAACGCGAACUUUCCAAUUAGAAGAUGCAUACUUCUUCAACUCUUAUUUGAUUCGUUUUAUCAGAAUCUAAGUUCGUUACUAGCUAGUUCAUAACCAUCUUCGAUAGUUCUAUAUAUAUAUAUAUAUAUAUCUCUCAAAUUCCCAGGCCCUUUAAUAUCUUGCAUUACAUUCUUUUGUGUCAGAACAAGUGUGUUAUACUUCAUACUUAGUAUAUACGUACGUGGGUACAACGUGCAAGUUGAUUAGAAUCUGAACAAUACUCGAGUGUGUUCACUGUUCACAUAGUAAGGUGAGUUCGAUGAACAUAGUUUAUUUUCUCCGGUGUUAUUAUCAGAUUUCGUUCUAAUUUUAUAACAAAAUAAAACACAUUUGCAGCAAUUAAAUUUGAUGAAAUUGUAUUUUAUCUCAAACUUAUCUGAAGAUUGCAAUCUUGCCCAUGUUAUAUCACAUAUGUCGAAUUAAUCCGAACUAUUCCUAACAAAUUAGUGGUUCCUUUCCAUGCAAUAUCUUUUAUAUGUAUAUUUCUCUCUGUACUUUUCAUUUGUUGUGUAUUUAUGACUUUUGUAAUCAGUUUAGGGCUCAUAUAGAUAAGUGGGGAUGUAUAUGGGCCGGGCACACCGGGUUUGGCUUAACUUAGACCCGAUUCGAAAUAUAGACCGGGCCUAAUGUUUGGACCCUAAUCCGAUCUUAGACCCGAUGAAACCUAUGCACAUUCGGGCCCGGUGAAAAUCGGGUAAAAACUGGGUCUUUAGCAUGUAAAAAUCACCUAAUCUCCAACUUUUAUUUCACAAUUCACAUAGUAAAAUUCACUUAAAAAAAUAUAACAAGAACUAACCCUUCUCUAAAAUUAAAGCAUAACCAUAAUCAAUACUAAUAUUGUCUAACACCAAAUAUUUAAAUCAAUACAAAUAACACAAUAUUAUGCAUUAGUGUAAAGUCUUAUGCAUUUUAAACAUAAAACAUUAACUUAUAAUUUUAUAAAUGACUAAUAACACACGAUAUUAAUGUUUACAAUAUUUAAAUUCCACAUAAGAAUAGCCAUCAUCCAACAUAAAAUAUUAAUUGUGUAUGAUGACGGGUCAUCGGGCCGAGUUCGGGUGACCCGAGUUAUGGCACGGACCCGACCCGAAAUAAUGACUGGGUCUAUCUUUGAGACCCUUACCCGACCCUAGACCCGAUAAAAUCACACUAAAUUAGCUCCUAAAGUGUUCGGGAUCGAGCCGGAUCUUCGGACCGGGCCGGGCCAUGUACACCCUAUAGAUAACCUUCAAUGCAAGUGAAUAUAAUCUUUUUAAAAAUAAUUGCAAAAAUAAAAUUUUUGGUAAUUAUGUAUUGAUUAUAAUUAAAAUCUCCUAAAAAAUGUAUGUUGAAAUAUUAUUUUUCUUUAUUAUUGUUUUACUCAUACAAAACAGUCUCUAAUCAAAUAUAGUUAUAACUAUAAUACUAUAUUUAGUUGAUGAGUUUAACAUCUGAAUUUACUUGAUUAUCCUUUAUAGUAUUUAUAUACUUAAUAUUUAAAAAAUACGGUGCUAGUUAAAUUCUAAAUCUUAGAUACUAAAUUUUAAAUCUUAAAUUUUAAUAAUGUAAAAAUAAAAUAUUGGCUAAUAAUGAUAAGCUGAGUGUGUACACGGUAAUCAUAGUUUAUUUUCUCCACUGUUGUUAUUGGCUUUCCUUCUCAUUUUAUAACUUCAAUAUUGUUUGCUUAAGGAGCAAAUAAAACAAAUUUGCAGCAAUUAGAUUAGAUGAAAUUGUAUUUAAUCUCAGACUUAUUGGAAAAUUGCAAUCUUGCCCAUGUUAUAUCACAUACAGUCAAAUCCAAACCAUUCCUAACAAAUUAGUGGUUCCUUUCCAUGCAAUCUCAUAUAUAACUAAUCUUAGCUGAGCUUAACAUCUGAAUUUACCUAACUAUCUUUUACAGUAUUUUAUACAUAAUAUUUAAAGAAUAUAGUGUUAGCUAAAUAAAAUAAGAUGUUAACUCAAAAUAUUGGCUAAUAAUAAUACAAAAAGCUAGAUUUUAACAUUUCUCAUUGAGUUAUUCUAUUUUGGUGGUAUAUAUAUUAUUAGGGACAAUGGGUGAGAGAUUGAACAGCAGGAUCGCCCAUCUUCUUGGUCGAGCAUGUGCAAGAGACAAUGAAGUUCCACGUUCAAUGAUACAAAGGAUUCCUGUUUUAUUGAGUCAAAAUCCAAACUUUGUCAAGUACUGCACACCCAAGAUGAUAUCAUUUGGUCCCAUCCAUCAUGGUGAACAAAAUCUCAACUUGGGAGAAGAAUUCAAACAUCUUUGGGCAUCCCUCUACAUUGGAAAAUUCAGCAAACAAGUCCGUGUUAGCACGGAAGAAGGAGCCAAGUUGAAGCAUAAUAUUAUAGUUGCUGAAAUCAAGCAAUUGAGGAACAUGUUCAGCAAGGAUGUGAUUGGAAGCUACAAUGACGACGAACUGAGUUGGUUGUUGCUUGUGGAUGGAUGUGCAUUGCUGUAUUUCUUGGACAAUGUUGAUGAUCAGCAUCCAGAAGCACUGAAUCUAAAGCUUGAUCAGUUGAUGUAUACCUGGAGAGAUAUUUUGUUGCUGGAGAACCAGCUUCCAUUGACGUUGCUGAUGCUGCUAAGUGAUGAAAAGACGGUAUAUCACUUAGAGAAUAUACUGUAUAAUUUCGUAUUCAUGGGCCUUUUCAAGGGAAGUGAGGGGUCGGUAAUAAACCGCAAUGGAGCUAAACCGGUUCAUCUUCUUGAUUAUGUUCGCACCUUUUACACAUUCAGAGAUGAAUACAUAAUAAGUAUGGAUCCUCCUCUUCAAGAAGAAGGCCGUUGGCACAGGUACAAAAAUAUCAGGGAUCUUAGGAAUGCAGGGAUUCAUGUGAAGCUUAACAAGAGAGAAGAAUGGAAAUGGAACAGCGUGUCUUUCACCUCCAACUUGUUUAGCGGAGCAUUGAAGCUUCCAAUGAUGAUAGUGAAUGAUGUCACUCCUUAUUUCUAUCACAACUUGAUUGCAUUUGAGAUGUGCCCGGAUUUUCGCAACAACUUCGAAUUCUGUUCAUAUUUUUUCUUGAUGGAUUCCUUGAUAGACGAAGCCGAGGAUGUGAAGGAACUCAGGUUGGCCGGUGUCCUCCAAAACUUGCUCGGAAGUGACAAAGAAGUGGCCAAACUCUUCAAUGAACUAGGCCAUGAAUUGCCUGCUAAAAUGUGCAAUUACAUGAUCAGAACUAAUGUUGUGGCCUACAGCAAAGGAUAUAUUCAAGUGAAGCAUCAAAUCAAUGAACAUUACCAAAAGAAAUGGAAGACUUGGUUGGCUGAAGCACGCAGCACUUAUUUCAGCACUCCAUGGUCUUUCAUUGCCUUUCUGGCUGCCGUUGCAGCAUUGCUUCUCACUUCUAUUCAAGCUUGGUAUGCUGUACAUCCCAGGAUCAGCAACUAAAAAAUAAGGUUUGCACCUUAAAUUUUUACAAGAAAGAAAGAAAAUAAUGCUACUAUAUUGUCUCUUUUGUUUUACUUAGUAUUGUAUGUGUUAUAAUGUUGUAAUUGACUUUUGUGUUGAUUUUAUCCAAUAAAGAAAUCUUGUUGUGUCGUUGUUGUUGUUUAUCAAUGUGGCAUUAGUCGUAUCACAUUGUGUGACAAACCCCAACAGCCAAGAAGGAGGAGAGGAAUAAAAAAAAAAUAGGUUUUGCUAGGUAAACAAUGACUUUUGUAAACAAUGUGAAUAAUGAGCUCUAGAAUUGACCCAAUAAAGUAAAAAAACACUUUACUUCCAAAUUACCUCCUAAACCUUAACAUUAGAAUAACCAUUUGUACACCUAGUGAAUUGAACAUCCAGCCAUUGUUAACUGUACAUGAGUAAAUCGAAUAAAAAAAAAUAAUCAUCCAAUUAAAAAUAAUGAACAUAAUCAUCUGCAUACCUAUUGAAUUAAACAUCUGACAUAUCUAUUGUUUACAUUGUAUUGAAUUAAACAUUUGACAUAUCUAUUAUUUACAUUGUUUAGUAUUCUCAUUGUCUACCUAUACUUUUCCUAAACAACAACUAAUUAACAAGGAAGGCACCGUGAAUUUAGGGAGUGAGAGAGAUAUAAAUAGGAAGUGAGGAGCAUUGGUUUCAAGUAGGAAAAGACUAAAGAGAGAAUUGUGGAGAGAAUUGGGCUCUCGAAUGCCAAUCGUCAUUUUUGUUACCGUCAUUCACACACACUCAAUAUACUCAUUCACUGGUUUGGGACUAUCACACUGAUUCUCCCUCUUUAGUGAUUUCACACACUACUUCUAUUCUUGUUAUUCUUAAUCGUUCAUACUACUGCUUCUCUAUACUAUCUCUAUCCUAAUCCUAUUCUACCUUCUGUGAUAUCUGAGAACCUUACACAUUGAUUCCUUAAUCAGAGGUUAAGUUACUCUAUGGAGUAAAAAUUCUUACUGCGUGGAGAACAUCAUAAUGUCUCCGUAGAGUAGUGGUCUAUUAAUGCAACGAAAAUAAACUAAAAACAUAUAUAGAAUAAAGAAUAAGAUGUGUUUGCAACAAUUUUACAAAGUAAUGAUGAAGACAACCUAUGAAAGCAAUGAACUAAUGCCUAAUGGAUUUCAUCACUAACAAAAACCACAAAUCAAACACCAUCCUUUUUGAGUGGCUUAGAAACUUUAAGGCAUGAACUCAGCACACAUAAUUCUCCUAUGAUCACUGGAAUAUAUCCUCAGGUAGAUCAAAUUAGCUAAUGCCAACCCAUGUCCCUUAAGGACUGCAGUUCCAUUUGUAAAAAUGGAGGGAGGGAAAGAACACAAAUGACCAUACCCCAUGAAAUCCUUAAGAAAGUGCGCACCAUUAAGGAAUAUCAUUUCAUUUCCAAAAACACUCUAAUUCAUCUUUCUUUGUUUUCCUUACACACCAAGGAAGUAGGAACCCCUAACCAGCUCAAAACAAAAAUUCCAGACAACAGUAGCAGCAUCACUUCGUAGCUAGCUAGCUAGGCUUGUUUGUGAGCAUAACACACUCGAAUGCGUCUCCCAUCUAUAAUCUGCAAAAAUCCCUAAUAAAAUUUUCAAGACAAUAGUAACAGAAAUUAUCAAAAAAAAAAUUCUCAACAAGAAAAAUAGAUGACCUUUUUAUGCAUUUCUUUGCGACCUGUAGCAGCUGAAGUUUCAGUAGUGAAGCGAACGAAUCCAUAGCCUUUUGAUUUGCCAGUGACAUGAUCACAUAUUACUUUAACUGUAGAAAUAUAAAUUCCAUCUAUGAUAUAGUAGCGCAAUCCGAUAUGGAGGAAUCCAAAAUAGAAGAACGAAAAGGAAAAAAAAAUGGUUUAAUUUUUACCUUCGAUUAUUUCGCCAUGUUGUUCAAAUGCAUCUCUUAGAACAGUUUCGUUCGUAUCAUAGGAUAGUCCUUUGUUCCAAAAUAGUUAAAAUUGCAAUCCAUAAAUCAAACUCAAAAAAAUGCAGUUUUAUUAUUAAAUUGAACAGAAAAAGGAGGAUUAAUGAAAGCGAUUGAAGAAGUUGAGUGAGACCUGUGACUAACAAAUUGGUAGAUGAAUGGCGCGGGAAUAGCAAGGGAGAAAAAGGGCAAGAGUUCUUGAAUAGAAGAUUGGUGGCGUUGGUAAGUGUAGGGUUUAGGCGCAUCUUCGAACUCGAACUCGAACACACACGUGUAGUUUUCUGGGUAGCAGUAGCAGAUGGCACACAAUACAGAUACGACGCGCCGUUUUCAACAUUUCACAAAACCAGCGCAUUGGAUAUUUUUGGGUCUUCUCUGGGCCGAAGCCCAAGCGCAUUGGGUUAACCUCAAUUGACAUACAAUAAUUUUGUUUUUUCUUGGAUGGAAAUAAGUUGGGCACUGGCCCAAGAUGUCCAAAGGGGUUCUUGACCUCGGUCCGAAACUGAUUGUGGUCUUUCACUUUGCAUGGGACGCAGAGUUCAUAAACAAAUAAAUCAACUGAAUAUUCGCACUAAAUUAUUUAUGAAGAGUAAAAUUAAAAUUUGCUUUCCAUAAAACAACACUUUCAAAAGAAUAAUGAUACUGUUCGUACCGAUAACGAGUUUAGGAACCCAAGGGGUGAAGGUAAGAGAUCUUGACUUUGGCGUGCACAAAACCAAACUGAAUGAACAACUUCUAAGACACUCUAAUGUUAAAGUCAAUAAUAUAUUAGGUGGUAUGGAGUUGUGUUUUUAUCUAUUGAUUGUCUUUUUUUUUUUUAUCUCUGUCCUCUAGGGUUAUCGUUUUCCCAGCAUCUAAUGCAUUUACAUUAUGUUAUUAUUGUCGGAAUUCGACGAUUAUAGACUUUGGUGAUGUAGCCGUUAUGGCGGUCUCGAUGUUAUGAUUUUAUUUAAUUGUUCGUCCGUUAUGUUUUUAUUUGUCUAGAAUAGUGUCCCUAACUCGAAUUCUUGAAUCUGGGCUUUUUGGUCACGGACAUCCGAGUUCAGGAAGUCGGAUUCGCCUCUAAAUUGAGAUUUUUGAAGAGUUUACUUAAAGAAAUUGAACAGUUUCUCUUAAUUUUUUUGAAACGGUUACAAUUUUCUCGUUUUAUGAACGGUGAAUUUCACCUUCAAAUUCUUUCUCUAACAAUAAAUGCAACAUUAAUUUAAAAUUAAACAACCUUUUACUUCCACUUUACCUUUCACUGAGGCGGUCUCAUAAUCCCAACCCGCCCCGCCUAGUGGCGGGCUGGCGGGNNNNNNNNNNNNNNNNNNNNNNNNNNNNNNNNNNNNNNNNNNNNNNNNNNNNNNNNNNNNNNNNNNNNNNNNNNNNNNNNNNNNNNNNNNNNNNNNNNNNNNNNNNNNNNNNNNNNNNNNNNNNNNNNNNNNNNNNNNNCCCCGCCAGAAGCCUGCCCUGCCUAGUGAGGCGGUCCCAAAAUCCCAGCCUGUCCCGCCUAAUAGCCGGCUGGCUAAGCCCGCCAAAUAUCCUUUUUUAACUUUUAACUAUUAAAUAAUAUAUAUAAAGGCAUAAAAAACUCUUCUGUUUUUUAUUUUUAACUAUUAUAAUUUCUAAAAGCAUAAACAAAUUAUAAUUUUUAUAUUCACAAACAUUAAAGUCUUUGUAAUUAUAAAUAUCUAAUAAACAUAAUUAUAAACCAAGUUUUCAUCCAAAACAUAACUAUAAAUAUUGUUCUCAAAACAAAAUAAACAUAAUCCAAAAUAUAAUUAUAAAUAUUGUCUCUAAAACAAAAUAAAUAUAAUCCAAAACACUCAAUUUUCAUCUUCAUUUUCUUGUAAGUUGGGUUAAAAAAUAAAAAAUUGUAAAAAUACCCCUUACCAAAAAAAUACUAAGCUUGGCGGGGAAGCCCGUCCCGCCCCGCCAAAACCCGCGGUUUAAAUGGUGCGGGUUAGGCGGGCUUUUGCUAUUUAGCGGUCCUACUUGAAGCCCGCCUCGCCCCGCCAAAACCCGCGGUUUAAAUGGUGCGGGUUAGGCGGGCUUUUGCUAUUUAGCGGUCCUACUUUUCCAGCCCAGCCCGCCUUUUUUGGCGGGUUACGCAAGCCAGCCCGGUGAGUUUAGGCCUUUUGCCACCUCUACCUUUCACUCACCCAUAUUUCACUUUCUAAAAAAAAGUUCCAAACGCGAUCAGUUUCUUCUUCCCAAUGAACUUCUCCUGUUUGGUCUUCCCUUUCUAUUGCCUUAUUCACUGUAGUCGCUCCUUCUGUCAGCGCUCAUAACACUUUUGUUUAAGGUUAGUGAAGCUUUUUAUUUUUUUUCCUCUUGUGUAUUUGAUUUGCAGUUUUUUUUUUUUUCUUUGCAAGUUUUGCACAUCAUUUGUGAUAUUGGUGUUGUUUGAAUUUUUCUUGCAUUUCCCUUCAUUUACUAUUUUUUAUUAGGUUUAAUGUACUUGGGGGACCACUAUUUUAAGUUUUCUCAAAUAAUUGAUGAUUUUUAUUUGCCUCCAUUUUUCAGAACUUCUGUAUUUUCGAGGCUUAUCUUGUGUUUUAUUUUAGGAAGCUGUAGAAUUUGUAACUUUAGAAAUUUUUAUUUUUUGGUAAUAUAGUGAUGGUGACGUAGUGGUAGUGUCCUUGUAGGUCUUCUCGUGAUGGCUAGGAAAAAGGUUAUCGCGACCCGAGGGCGUGGCCGUGUUGCGAGUGUGCCGAGACCCCAGCCUGCUCCCCUCGAAGGGAUGAAUAGUCUGCUUGAGGUGGACAUCUAUUCGUGGGUAUCCAAGGAGGUUAAGACUACUUUUAUCACGAUUACGCAAGAAUAACUUGACAAUCUACGAGAAGCCCACAUUACUUUUUAUUCUAAUCUUAGUAACUUGUAUGUCUUCCCUAUGCCAAGGUCCGAAGAACGAUUGUGCCACAUAAAUGAGCAUGUCGGUACUGUCUCAGACUGGCUGUGGAUGUAUGAGACAUUGUUUUCCCAGGAUUGGGGUCCGCUUACCUUUUUCCGACUUCCAAGUGAGCAUGCUGACCCAUAGCGGAUAUUCUCUUUCGCAACUCCAUCCUAACUCUUGGGCCAUUAUCCGUAGUUUCAAGCUUUUGUGCUCGUUCCUGGAGCCUGCCCUUAGAGUCUUCUUUUAUUUUUUCACUUUGACAGUUCCUUUUAGGUCUUAAUGUCGCGGGUUCAUCGUUUUCCGAGGUGUCCCGAAUAGAAAAUUUUUUAUUUUGUUUGAGAAAUCCUACCAUGGCUUUUAAGAAAAGUUUUUUAAGAUCGAAGGGGUGGAAGGUACGACUUUAUUUUUUAUGACUUUGGAGGGUGCUAAAAAAUUUAACUUGUAUUGGAGCUACAAUGUUUCUUCCCAAAGAUUACAAUUAGUGGCAUCAAUGAUGCCGUGCAUUUGGGUAUUAACCUUUUAAUGAUGUUGUGGAAUAAACGGUCCCUUGUUUUGAGGGACAUACUGAUAAAUGAACAAGUUGUUUGGAAAGCUAUAAGUGAGUUCUUAUCUUCUGGACGUUCCUACAUGCUUGACCUUAUAUGCUUAUGAUCACUCUUACUUAUAACUUUCGCGUUUCAGUUAAAUUGGUCGGGGGACUUGCCGCCAUUGCCGAGAUAAAGAGGAGGUUAUCAUCCCAGCCUCCGAACAUCGUGGGUGGUCAGUAGGGUUUCCUCGUCUGCUACUAUCAGCCGUUAGCCUCGACCUCGGGGGGUCGAAGAGAGCGGGGAAGGGCAACGUCUUGAGGUACAGAUUAUUUCGGAAGACUCCCCGAACAAUUCUCCAACUUGGAAAAAACUUAAAAUCUUUGGUCAGGCUGACAUUGGUGCUUCUAUCCCUACCUCGUUCAGGUAUGUAUUGGAUAAGGGGUUUUGAGCUCCCGAAUUUGUGGACCAACAUUUCAUGGAUGACAAUACCAGGGCAGUUCUUGCCAAGAUGUCUCUGAAAGAUAUACUUCUCCGAGGUCAGAGGAUGCUCCUGCGCUAUCCGAUUAUGUCUGAGACGCAUAGGUAGAGAUCUCGAGUAUUCGCUUAGAGUUCCUCUCAAAGGACAUAAUGAUUGCUGAGGCAAAUACCCAAGUCCAGAAGCUGAACACCUCGGUUACUGACCUUCAAGGUAAACAAACUUCCUUGGAGAACGAGGUAAAAAGUUUUAAGGAAGCCAAAGCUGCCUCUGACUCAAGGGAAGGAGCUCUGAAAAAGUAGUUUUCCAAGAUAAUGAAGAAAAUUGAAGAACUUGAUCUUUUGGUUAGAAAGGAUGAACAGGCGGUUCUCGAUGGUGUGUUUGAUGCCGAGAAGAACAUCCUUGACCAAAUCAUGUUGAAGGCUCCUAACUUGGAUGUAUCUGAAGUCGAUGCCUUCAACAAGGUGGUGGAUGGAAAGGUUGUUUCAAUAUUAUGAUUAUAAUUUGUAACUUAUUUUCUUCAGUAUUUUGAACUUGAUAAUUUGGAAUCUGUGGGACUUUUGCAGUACCUUCUCCCGUUUUUUCUUUGGAAUUUUAAUUUUAUAUGUUCCCGUUAUAGUUAGGAUUAACUCAUGAUUGUUGAUGUUUUGCCAUUUCACUGCUUGCUACAUAUCCUUCUUCCUUAAAUCGUUUUAUUUCGAACUUUAAUUUCAGCUUGAUUUCGACUUUUACAUGGAUGAAGGGAUAUUUAACGCAUUCCAACCAUAACAUGAGUUUGAACAUAGAGUUUGUAAAAGAAAUCAAAAUAUUUAAUUGAAGUAUAAAAUUGCAAAGAAGGUUCCUUUUGCCGAAUACAGGAGAGGCCUCAUUAAAAACGUAGUUGCCUAGGAAAAGAGUGCACUUAUUCUACUUAAUGAUGAAAAAUAAAGGAAAAUUUUCAGCAUUUCCAAAGAAUAAUACCUUUUCGAAUGGGUUGCAUUCCAGCUUCUUGGCACUUCAAAACCAUCCAAGGUUUCUAACUUAUAUGCCCCUUUCCCAUUGCCUCUUUCACCCUGAAAAGUCCUCUCCAGGUCGGAGCUAACUUACCUCGUGUUCCUGGUACCCUGGCAUCACCUUGACUCAGAACUAGAUCUCCCGCUUGGAAACUUCUAGGUCAGUCUUUCAUAUUGUACCUCUUGGCCACACUUUGCUUCAAAGCUUGCUUUGCUAAGUUAGCCAUACAUUUGACUUCAUCAAUUAGGUCCAAGCUUUCAUGAGUUGCCGAGGUCUCCAAAAGUAUUCUUGGGCUUGGCUCCUUGGGUUCUACCGGGAUUACUACUUUUUCGCCAUAGGUGAGUGUGAAGGGUGUUUCGUUGGUAGUAGAUUGCACUGUAGUUUGGUAUGACCAUAGUACUGACUACACCUUGUCAGCCCAAUAGCCCAAGCGCUCAUCCAAUCUUUUCUUUACCCUUUUAAGAUUACCUUAUUAGUAGCUCCGACUUGUCCAUUUGCAUGCGGGUGCUCCACCGAGACAAAUAUUUGCCAAAAUUUCAAUUCGAACAACAUUUUUUGAAACCUUGAGUCAGUGAAUUGAGUUAUGUUAUCUGUGACAAUAGAUUUGGGAAUCCCAAAUCUUGCAAUGAUCUCUCUCCAUACGAACUUCCGACAUUGAGCAGAGCUGAUACUAAGUAAGGGCACGACUUCAAUCCACUUGGUAAAAUAAUCUAUAGCAACUAUAAGAUAUUUUACCUGGCUCUGUCCCUAUGGAAAAGAUCCCAACAAAUCCAAGCCCCAUUUGGCAAAUGGCCUUGUCGGGAUAACGGAUAUGAGCUCGUGAGGAGGUGCCUGGUAGAAGUUGCCGUGCAAUUGGCAUUUGCUACAUUUCCUUACAUAUUCCAUGGCAUCUUUAAUGAGGGUGGGCCAAUAGUACCUAGCUCGAAUGACCUUUUGAGCCAAUGACUUUCCAUUCAGGUGAUGUCCACAGUAGCCCUCGUGGACCUCCUAUAACACAUACAUUGUCUGUUGGUCAUUUAAACAUUUUAACAAUGGUUGGGGGCACGCUCCUUUUAUAUAAUUUCUCAUUUAUCAUGGUAUAUUUGGCCGAUUUAAGUCGUAACUUCUUUGCUUCUUUGGGGUCACUAGGCAAAGUCCCAUGCUCUAAAUAUGAGCAAACUGGGUUCAUCCAUGUAUUGAGAUUCCCAGAACAUAAAAUCAGAACUUGGGGUUUGGUUACAGUAGGCUUCGUGAGCACUUCUUGUAUGAAACUACGAUUUCUUAUUCCGGGUUUAGUGCUUGCGAGUUUAGAUAACACGCCAGCUCGUGUAUUCUGUUCCAUGGUACAUGCUGGAUUACAAAAGAAUCAAACGACUGUACCUCUUGUUGUGCUUUUUUCAGGUACUGCUAUAAUAGUUAAUCCCGCACCUGAUAUUCCCCAUUAACUUGGGAUGUCACCAACUGCAAAUCACUGAAUAUGGUUACUCCUGUAGCUCCGACAUCUCGAGCCAACGCAAACCCUGCAAGCAAGGCCUCAUACUUAGCCUAAUUAUAUGAAAUAGGGAAGUCAAAUUUAAUAGAGGCCUCGACCACCAUGUCCUCUCUCUUGGUUAGGAUGAGGCCAGCUCCUCCAUACCGAACAUUGGAAGUUCCAUCUACAUGAAGUUCCCAUAUCGGUAUGCCAAAAUCUGGGUGCGUCAUUUCAGUUAGGAAAUCUACCAUUGCUUGAGCCUUAAUGGCUAAGCGUGGUUCAUAGCACACAUCAAAUUGAGACAGCUCAAUGGACCAACUCAUCAUCCGACCUGCUAAGUCGGGUUUUUGUAAAACCUUUUUGAUUGGUUGAUCGGUUUGCACUAUUACCAAGUAGCUUUGGAAAUACUGGCGUAACCGACGUGCCGAUAUGAGCAAUUUCAAAAGCAAGCUUUUCAAUCUUUUAAUAUGGUAGCUCAGGUCCUUGAAGAACCAUGCUAACAAGAUAUAUUGGACGCUGAUGUUUAUCCUGAUCCUUUAAAACUAAGGCCGAAGCCAACGUUUCUUCGGUUAUAGAUAAAUACAAGAACAAAGGUUGGCCGAAUUUUGGUUUUGCCAAGAUACGAGGAGAUGAGAGCAAGUUUUCAAAAUGUUGAAAGGCGGCCUCACAAUCCUCUGUCCAGACAAAUUCCACAUCUUUCCUCAUCAAAUUAAAAAAAUAGUUCGAUUUUAAUCUCGGAUGCUCUCACCUACCCUUUGUUCCACCUCCAGUAGGGAAAUUGGGUGCUUUGCUUGGGUCCUCCUAGUGGUAAAGUGGGCCAAAAAUUUCACCUUGAUGUCAACAAAGGAGGAUCCGUCCUUUUGUCGUAUUUCAAAUCAGUAGGCUUGUCAAAAUGCUUUGACAAACGUACAUGGAGGACGUGAGAAGCAAAUGGGGUUUGACCCAUUAUCACGUGUUCUCGAACUUCCUUAUGCCUUUUAGGACUUGGACUCCUCAACGGUGUCCACCCCAUUUUAGACUGAACAGAUCGCAAUUCUUUUCCCACCCUCCUAUCCUCUUCCAGAGAAUCGCCAUGUCGUCGUGGUGACCUCCUAUCUUCUCGGUGGCAUUGGGGGGAAUGCAAAACCCUGCUAAUUAGGGUCAUGGCCUGCUUCAGGGUUCCCGUGGUUACACUCUCCAUGUUCUCUGGGCGGGUGACUUCGGGAACGGGAUUACCUAGACAAAGAGCAUUCAGCCAAUCGCCGUUCAAGUUCCAAACGAUGGCUCUCCAAUUCUUGUACCCGAUGUCGCAUCUCCUGCAUGGCGUGAUGGUAGUCGUCCCCUAAACCAGCGAAAUGACGAGCUUCCGCGUGGAAGAGCUCCAAGUUUGGGGCUCCCUAAUUCUCAUAACUAGGAUGAGCUUCCUAGCGAUUCGGAGUCGCAUCAGUUUCAUGUCCACUCUCCUGGUUUGGUCCUUCAACGGAGUCUCUAAAUUGAUUGUAGAAUGAAUUCGAUGUUUGGCCAUGAUUCUUAGCGAAGUAGGAUACCCACAAACGGCGCCAAAUGUUCGUACUGGUGGCGAGUUUAUGAACUGAAAGGGUGAAGGUCGGAGAUCCUGACUUUGGUGUGCACAAAACCAGGCCGAGUGGGUAACCUACAAGACACUUCGAUGCUAAAGUCAGUGAUAAUGUAUUAGGUGGUAUGGAGCUUCGUGUUUUUACAUGUUGAUUGCCUUUUCUUUUUAUUUCUGUCCCGUGGAGCUACUAUUUUUCCAGCAUCUAAUGCCUUUACGUCGUGUCAUUAUUGUUGGGAUUCGACGGUUAUAGACUUUGGUGAUGUAGCCGUUAUGACGAUCUCGACGUUAUCUUGUAACAUUGGUUUAUAUUUAAUUGCUCGUCUGUUAUGUUCUCAUUUGUCUAGAAUAGAUACAUAGUUCUAAAUAUUUUUCUAAUUACUUAAAAAAAUUUAAAUAAAUAUAAUAUUUUAAAAAUAAUAAGGUAUUCAAAGUUUUACUUGAUCAUUACCAAACAAAAAAUCAACUAUAUUUCCAAGCUCAUAAAACACCCGCGAAGCUAAUUAGAUUGAUAAACACGAACCGCGAAUAAAAUGAAAUGUGUUGCACAUUUCGGCGCGCAACCGAAACUGUAAAAGCAAUUAAAAUUUGAAUUUUAUAUUUGAUGGGAUCCCACCAGAGAGCUUCCAAUUCUAAUAAGGGAGAGAAAAGUGAAGUGCAUCUUAACCGUCUAAUCUCGAAGUUCCAAAAAUGAAUCUCAACGGUCUUUACACUGCCAACUCACCGAUCCGUAUGCGUUACACGUCAUGAAAAAUCUCGUCGUCUUUGGAAAGCUACUCCACGAAUCGACACUUGCCACGUCAGCGAUCCGCGUGAACCCCCGCUAACGAAUGAUAGCGCGAAAUCCUUUUCUAUAUCAAUCAACUGCAAUCACAAUUUUUCUCAUUCUCAACUCGACUCAAUUCAUUCUCUUCAGAAUCCCAAUUUUCCCAAUCCAAAUACCUAACUCCUCUCAGAAUCUCAAAAUCCUCGCUUCGUGAUGGCACCUAAGGCAGAGAAGAAGCCAGCUGAGAAGAAGCCCGCGGAGGAGAAGAAAUCCGCCGUUGCUGAGAAGGCUCCACCGGCAGAGAAGAAGCCGAAGGCAGGAAAGAAGCUUCCAAAGGAAGGCGCCGCUGCCGCCGGAGACAAGAAGAAGAAGAGGAACAAGAAGAGCGUUGAGACCUACAAGAUCUACAUCUUCAAGGUCCUGAAGCAAGUCCACCCUGACAUCGGUAUCUCAAGCAAGGCCAUGGGAAUCAUGAACAGCUUCAUCAACGAUAUCUUUGAGAAGCUCGCUCAAGAAUCUUCUAGACUUGCCCGCUACAACAA
rnacentral:lncRNA from 1 species